rnacentral:rRNA from 1 species
CGGGAAUAGCUCAAAUUUUAAAUCUGGCUGGCGUGGUCGGUCCGAGUUGUAAUUUGAAGAAGCGAUUAUCACGUUUUCGUUCGGGUUCAAGUUCCUUGGAAUAGGACAUCAGAGAGGGUGAGAAUCCCGU